UGCAGUCGAGGGGCAGCAUGAAGUAGCAAUACUUUGAUGGCGACCGGCAAACGGGUGCGGAACACGUACACAACCUUCCUUUUAGUGGGGAAUAGCCCAGAGAAAUUUGGAUUAAUACCCCGUAAUAUAACGAUGUGGCAUCACAUUGUUAUUAUAGCUUCGGCGCUAGAUGAUGGGUGUGCGUAUGAUUAGAUAGUUGGCGAGGUAACGGCUCACCAAGUCUACGAUCAUUAGCUGAUGUGAGAGCAUGAUCAGCCACACGGGCACUGAGACACGGGCCCGACUCCUACGGGAGGCAGCAGUAAGGAAUAUUGGUCAAUGGACGCAAGUCUGAACCAGCUAUGCCGCGUGAAGGAUUAAGGUCCUCUGGAUUGUAAACUUCUUUUAUCUGGGACGAAAAAAGGUUUUUCUAAGCCUCUUGACGGUACCAGAUGAAUAAGCACCGGCUAACUCCGUGCCAGCAGCCGCGGUAAUACGGAGGGUGCAAGCGUUAUCCGGAUUCACUGGGUUUAAAGGGUGCGUAGGCGGGCAGGUAAGUCAGUGGUGAAAUCCUGGAGCUCAACUCCAGAACUGCCAUUGAUACUAUCUGUCUUGAAUAUUGUGGAGGUAAGCGGAAUAUGUCAUGUAGCGGUGAAAUGCUUAGAUAUGACAUAGAACACCCAUUGCGAAGGCAGCUUACUACGCAUAUAUUGACGCUGAGGCACGAAAGCGUGGGGAUCAAACAGGAUUAGAUACCCUGGUAGUCCACGCCCUAAACGAUGGAUACUCGACAUACGCGAUACACUGUGUGUGUCUGAGCGAAAGC
rnacentral:rRNA from 1 species